GGGUCAGUAGGUUGGUCGUGCCACCGGUACGUACUGGUCUCACUGGUUCCUCCUUCCUGAAGAACCGUAAUGCCAUUAAUUUGGUGUUGCGGGGAAACAGGACUGUUACUUUGAAAAAAUUAGAGUGUUUAAAGCAGGCUAACGCUUGAAUACAUUAGCAUGGAAUAAUGAAAUAGGACGAUCGAUCCUAUUUUGUUGGUUUCUAGGAUUGACGUA
rnacentral:rRNA from 1 species